rnacentral:rRNA from 1 species
GAUGAACGCUAGCUACAGGCUUAACACAUGCAAGUCGAGGGGUAGCACGGAAGAAGCUUGCUUCUUUGGGUGACGACCGGCGCACGGGUGAGUAACGCGUAUCCGACCUGCCCAUGACUCGGGCACAGCCGCUCGAAAGAGCGAUUGAUUCCCGAUAUGUCUAUGAAGUAGAUUCCUGGAUGAAAGAUUUAUCGGUCAUGGAUGGGGAUGCGUAGGAUUAGGUAGUAGGCGGGGUAACGGCCCACCUAGCCGACGAUCCUUAGGGGUUCUGAGAGGAAGGUCCCCCACACUGGAACUGAG